AUUGAACGCUGGCGGCAGGCCUAACACAUGCAAGUCGAGCGGUAGAGAGAAGCUUGCUUCUCUUGAGAGCGGCGGACGGGUGAGUAAUGCCUAGGAAUCUGCCUAGUGGUGGGGGAUAACGUUCGGAAACGGACGCUAAUACCGCAUACGUCCUACGGGAGAAAGCGGGGGAUCUUCGGACCUCGCGCCAUUAGAUGAGCCUAGGUCGGAUUAGCUAGUUGGUGAGGUAAUGGCUCACCAAGGCGACGAUCCGUAACUGGUCUGAGAGGAUGAUAAGUCACACUGGAACUGGGACACGGUCCAGACUCCUACGGGAGGCAGCAGUGGGGAAUAUUGGACAAUGGGCGAAAGCCUGAUCCAGCCAUGCCGCGUGUGUGAAGAAGGUCUUCGGAUUGUAAAGCACUUUAAGUUGGGAGGAAGUGCAGUAACCUAAUACGUUAUUGUUUUGACGUUACCGACAGAAUAAGCACCGGCUAACUUCGUGCCAGCAGCCGCCGUAACAC
rnacentral:rRNA from 1 species